AUUGAACGCUGGCGGCAGGCCUAACACAUGCAAGUCGAACGAGUGGCGGAGGGGUGAGUAAUGUCUGGGAAAGUGCCUGAUGGAGCGGGAUAACUACUGGAAACGGUAGCUAAUACUGCAUACCAUCAGAUGUGGCCAGAGGGGAUUAGCUAGUUGGUGGGGUAACGGCUCACCAAGGCGACGAUCCCUAGCUGGUCUGAGAGGAAGACCAGCCACACUGGAACUGAGACACGGUCCAGACUCCUACGGGAGGCAGCAGUGGGGAAUAUUGGACAAUGGGCGCAAGCCUGAUGCAGCCAUGCCGCGUGUGUGAAGAAGGCCUUCGGGUUGUAAAGUACUUUCAGCGGGGAGGCGUUACCCGAAGAAGAAGCACCGGCUAACUCCGUGCCAGCAGCCGCGGUAAUAC
rnacentral:rRNA from 1 species